CCCAGGUCCCCAGGAUCAUGACCUGAGCCAAAGGCAGACACUUAACCAACUGAGCCACCCUGGCGCCCCUAACAUCAUUUUUUCAUGGGAGACUUUCCUGAGGACAUUCCUAGUAAUGUCCCCUUAUGUCACCCUGUACUCCUGUUCCAAAGACUCAUCACACUUAGUACUUUCACUGUUUCUUGUUCUUGCUAGAUUGUAAGCUCUAUGAGGCAGAGACCAAAUUUGCCUUAUUAGAUUCUGUAGCCUCAGUGCCUAGUACAAUAUCGUUUUGAACUGAAAGCUUUUGUAACUGCUGCCUGAUGUCUGGAUUCCAUAGCCAUGGAAAUAAUGGAUCAGAAUCUUGCCUUGUUUAUUGCCCUGCAGUCCAGUUCCAUUGGGCUUUUCUGACAGGCUUUUUCUGCUAUUUCAAUAACCAAUUUCACUAAUAUUUCAGGGUAUUUCAUCAUUCCUUUGAGUAGGGAUCAAAAUGCACACCUCCCUUGAGGCACUUGGGUGGCUCAGUUGGUUGAGCGUCUGACUCUUGAUCUCGGCUCAGGUCACGGUCUCAGUAUCAUGGCUUCAAGCCCUGCGUUGGGCUCCAUGCUGGGUGUGGAGCCUACUUAAAAAAAAAAGCAUAUCUCCCACAUCACAUAGCAGGUUGUGAGGUUAGAACACAGUACCACUGUAUUAUUUGAUAAUUACUAGAAAAGGCUGGUGCUGUUCUCACCUCUUGUAUUGUUUCCAUGAUGCUCACAUACCUCUGAGAACCCCCUGCCCAACAUCGUAUUUGGGGUGGGCAACUGUGGAUCACCAGAUGAUAGGGAGAUUUAAAGGUACCCAGAUUGUUCCUCUCUCAGGUGUCACCUUGGUUUGGUGCACACUUGAGUCGUUUAUAGAUGGAUGGCACAUUUAUUUGUUGGAAGCAGUGAGGCACAGUCAAAUUAACGGUGCAAGCACAAGAGUGGAAGUAACACAGUUGCUCAGGCUCACGAGGCAGGCAUUCAGCAGCCCAAUGUUGGAACCUGAAGUUCAAUGGUGAAAGAAAGCUACAGCUGCCAGAUACCAGCAAUGGAACUGCAGGGGCCACCAGACUUGUUUUUGUUUUUGCAAGUGGCACUAACAACCCAAUAAACUUUCCUUCCUCUGA